GACGAACGCUGGCGGCGUGCUUAACACAUGCAAGUCGAACGGAAAGGCCCUGCUUUUGUGGGGUGCUCGAGUGGCGAACGGGUGAGUAACACGUGAGUAACCUGCCCUUGACUUUGGGAUAACUUCAGGAAACUGGGGCUAAUACCGGAUAGGAGCUCCUGCUGCAUGGUGGGGGUUGGAAAGUUUCGGCGGUUGGGGAUGGACUCGCGGCUUAUCAGCUUGUUGGUGGGGUAGUGGCUUACCAAGGCUUUGACGGGUAGCCGGCCUGAGAGGGUGACCGGCCACAUUGGGACUGAGAUACGGCUCAGACUCCUACGGGAGGCAGCAGUGGGGAAUAUUGCACAAUAGGCGGAAGCCUGAUGCAGCAACGCCGCGUGCGGGAUGACGGCCUUCGGGUUGUAAACCGCUUUCGCCUGUGACGAAGCGUGAGUGACGGUAAUGGGUAAAGAAGCACCGGCUAACUACGUG
rnacentral:rRNA from 1 species